AUUGAACGCUGGCGGUAGGCCUAACACAUGCAAGUCGAACGCGAAAGUCCUUCGGGAUGAGUAGAGUGGCGGACGGGUGAGUAACGCGUAGGAAUCUAUCCUGUAGUGGGGGAUAACGUUUCGAAAGGAACGCUAAUACCGCAUACGUCCUACGGGAGAAAGUGGGGGAUCUUCGGACCUCACGCUAUCAGAUGAGCCUAGGUACGAUUAGCUAGUUGGUGAGGUAAAGGCUCACCAAGGCGACGAUCGUUAACUGGUCUGAGAGGAUGAUCAGUCACACUGGAACUGGGACACGGUCCAGACUCCUACGGGAGGCAGCAGUGGGGAAUAUUGGACAAUGGGCGAAAGCCUGAUCCAGCCAUGCCGCGUGUGUGAAGAAGGUCUUCGGAUUGUAAAGCACUUUAAGUUGGGAGGAAGGGCAGUAAGUUAAUACCUUGCUGUUUUGACGUUACCGACAGAAUAAGCACCGGCUAACUUCGUGCCAGCAGCCGCCGUAAGAC
rnacentral:rRNA from 1 species